rnacentral:rRNA from 1 species
UACGGAGGGGGCGAGCGUUAUUCGGAAUUAUUGGGCGUAAAGGGCGCGUAGGCGGCUAGGUAAGUCAAAGGUGAAAUCCCUCGGCUCAACUGAGGAACUGCCUUUGAAACUGCCUAGCUUGAGGCCGGGAGGGGGUGGCGGAAUUCCCAGUGUAGCGGUGAAAUGCGUAGAUAUUGGGAGGAACACCAGUGGCGAAGGCGGCCACCUGGACCGGUUCUGACGCUGAUGCGCGAAAGCGUGGGUAGCAAACAGG